ACUGAUGCGCAGCAUUUGACAGCACUGUGCAGAUAGAAGCAGCAGAGCAGCAACCAAGCAAGCCAUGAGAAAUGUAAAGAUUUUAUAACAUUUAAAGUACAAACACUAUAAGCAAUAUUAUAUACACCGACAAUCAGAAUUUGUGCAGUCGCAGCAGCGUGCCCCGAAACAUUUGCACAGUCUCGG